AAAAGUGAGUUGGUGAAUUGAUUGGUCCAAAAGCCUUAAGGUCUUUUGUUAUCCAAGGGAGAAAACUCAACCUAAAACCACAAAUCCACCCUGUGAGGAUAGCUUCAACAUGCUAGUGAGGGGUUAACCCUAUAAGAGAAAACUCAACCUAAAACCACAAAUCCACCCUGUGAGGAUAGCUUCAACAUGCUAGUGAGGGGUUAACCCUAUAAUAAGCAUGGAAGACUCAUUGUCCAUCACUAAGGAUAUAGGUGAGUAUUACAUCUACCUCAAAGAUAAGUCAAACCUAAU
rnacentral:lncRNA from 1 species